GUACGGCGAGUGAGAGGAAGAGCUCAAAGUUGGAACCUGUUUGGCCUAGCUAAACCGGAUUGUAGACUGUAGAAGUGUUUUCCAGGCAAGCCGAGUAAAUAAGUCCUUUGGAACAGGGCAUCAUAGAGGGUGAGAAUCCCGUCUUUGGCUUGAGCAUUUGCCUUUUGUGAUACGCUUUCAAAGAGUCAGGUUGUUUGGGAAUGCAGCCUAAAUUGGGUGGUAAAUCUCACCUAAAGCUAAAUAUUGGCGAGAAACCGAUAGCGAACAAGUACCGUGAGGGAAAGAUGAAAAGAACUUUGAAAAGAGAGUUAAACAGUAUGUGAAAUUGUUAAAAGGGAACCGUUUGGAGCCAGACUGGCUUGUCUGUAAUCAAUCUAGGCUUCGGCCUGGAUGCACUUGCAGGCUAUGCCUGCCAACGACAAUUUGACUUGAGGGAAAAAACUAAGGGAAAUGUGGCCCACUUGUGGGUGUUAUAGUCCCUUAGAAAAUACCUUGGGUUGGAUUGAGGAACGCAGCGAAUGCUUUUUGGCGAGUUUUCCAGGAAGGUUUUCUGAGGUACUACGGUAUCAAGGUUGAUCUUUUUGGUUAUACUUCUAUUCGCUUAGGUUGUUGGCUUAAUGACUCUAAAUGACCCGUCUUGAA
rnacentral:rRNA from 1 species